GACAGCACGUUCGGUAAUUUACCUAAAUUUUCUGAAGACGCAGCGGGAAUUUAGAGGAAAUAAGCGGAAUUGCGGAAAUCAAGAAAAAAUUGUGGAAAAUUGGAGCAAAUUGGAGUUUCCGACAAAAUGACGAAAUAGUCAAUGCCAAUCAAGGGAAUGGAAUCUAAUUGCCUCCGAUAGUAUUUGCGUAAAUGAAUUGAGAAGGGAGAAGAAAGAAGAAAGAAGAAAGAAGAAAAGAGAAGAGAAGACAAGGAAAAGGAAAAAAAAAAAUAAUAAUAAAUAGCCUUUGCUGACGUCAUGAUGACGUCAGCAUCAGCAUAGUUUUCCCCUCCUUCCCCUCCCCACGUGCACUCUUCAUCCUUUCUUCCCUUUCCUUUUUAUUUUCUUUCUUUUUCCUUUGUUCCUAUCACGAGCUGCCACGUGUCAUAUGACCUCUCCCCUCUAACCAUGCACCACCCGAGAACCCUACAUUUAAUUGCAUAUAUAUAUCCUCUCCUUCACACCAGAACAGAGGGCCGCAACACACCAAAAACAGAGGCAGCCCCUUUGGGCUGCUCUCUUUCUCUUUCUCCUCUCCUCCUCCUCAUUUACCAUAUUCUAGUUAGUUUUCUUUUGGGUUUCGGUAGGAUUUCUCACACAAGCUUCAAGGAUUCAUCAAGAUUCAAGUUUUAGGUACAAGAUUCAAGUUUUAGGUAUUUGUGGGAGUUGUAAUUCAAGACUAGUCAUGCUAGCUUUUUAGCUAUUUGUGACUAUUCUUGUUUUCUCCUACACUUCUAUACUCUUUUCUCUUUGAAUUUUGUAAUCUUGAUGUCUAUGAUUAUGGGUUGUGAGUAAUUUUCUUGUUGGGGUUUAGGGUUGUGUCCCUAACCCAAAUUUUGUGUAAAAGAUGCUUAUUUUAAUGUAAUGAUGCAAUUUUCAUA